CUGGGUGAUGCAAAGGGCUAAUGCAUUCAGCUUCUAACCGAAAGGUUGGAGGUUCAAGUCCACCCAGA
rnacentral:tRNA from 1 species